rfam:Triticum aestivum genome assembly, contig: Triticum_aestivum_CS42_TGACv1_scaffold_407799_5BL
AUUAUACUCCCUCCGUUCGGAAUUACUUGUCGCGAAAAUGGAUAUAUCUAGAUGUAUUUUAGUUCUAGAUACAUCCAUUUCUAAGACAUGUAAUUCCGAAUGAAGGGAGUAAUUA